GAUCCUGGCUCAGAUUGAACGCUGGCGGCAGGCCUAACACAUGCAAGUCGAACGCGAAAGUCCUUCGGGAUGAGUAGAGUGGCGGACGGGUGAGUAACGCGUAGGAAUCUACCUGGUAGUGGGGGAUAACUUGGGGAAAACUCAAGCUAAUACCGCAUACGACCUAAGGGUGAAAGCGGGGGAUCGCAAGACCUCGUGCUAUCAGAUGAGCCUGCGUAAGAUUAGCUAGUUGGUAGGGUAAAGGCCUACCAAGGCGACGAUCUUUAGCUGUUCUGAGAGGAUGAUCAGCCACACUGGGACUGAGACACGGCCCAGACUCCUACGGGAGGCAGCAGUGGGGAAUAUUGGACAAUGGGGGCAACCCUGAUCCAGCCAUGCCGCGUGUGUGAAGAAGGCCUUCGGGUUGUAAAGCACUUUCAGUGGGGAGGAAAGGUUGCAGAUUAAUACUCUGUAGCUGUGACGUUACCCACAGAAGAAGCACCGGCUAACUCCGUG
rnacentral:rRNA from 1 species